rnacentral:rRNA from 1 species
GCUAGCGGCAGGCCUAAUACAUGCAAGUCGGACGGGAUUUGGGCUUCGGCCUAAUGAGAGUGGCGCACGGGUGCGUAACACGUAUGUAACCUACCCUUAUCAGGGGGAUAGCCUCUCGAAAGAGAGAUUAAGCCCGCAUAACAUCAGAUGAUAGCAUUAUUGACUGAUCAAAUAUUUAUAGGAUAAGGAUGGGCAUGCGGAACAUUAGCUGGUUGGUAAGGUAACGGCUUACCAAGGCUACGAUGUUUAGGGGAUCUGAGAGGAUGGCCCCCCACACUGGUACUGAGACACGGACCAGACUCCUACGGGAGGCAGCAGUAAGGAAUAUUGGUCAAUGGGCGGAAGCCUGAACCAGCCAUGCCGCGUGCAGGAAGACGGCCCUACGGGUUGUAAACUGCUUUUGUACCGGAAUAAACCCUUUUAUGAAUAGAAGGCUGAAUGUACGGUAAGAAUAAGGAUCGGCUAACUCCGUGCCAGCAGCCGCGGUAAUACGGAGGAUCCGAGCGUUAUCCGGAUUUAUUGGGUUUAAAGGGUGCGUAGGCGGCCUUGUAAGUCAGGGGUGAAAGACGGUAGCUCAACUAUCGCAGU